rnacentral:rRNA from 1 species
CCGUAGGAAUAAGCAUCGGCUAACUCCGUGCCAGCAGCCGCGGUUAUACGGAGGAUGCGAGCGUUAUCCGGAUUUAUUGGGUUUAAAGGGUGCGUAGGCGGCUUUUUAAGUCAGCGGUGAAAUUUUGCAGCUUAACUGUAACAGUGCCGUUGAUACUGGGGAGCUAGGAUUUGGUUGCUGUGGGUGGAAUGUGUGGUGUAGCGGUGAAAUGCUUAGAGAUCACACAGAAUAUCGAUUGCGAAGGCAGCUCACAAAGCCAAGAUUGACGCUGAGGCACGAAAGUGUGGGGAUCAAACAGGAUUAGAUACCCUGGUAGUCCACACUGUAAACGAUGAUAACUCGCUGUCGGCGAUACACAGUCGGUGGCCAAGCGAAAGCGAUAAGUUAUCCACCUGGGGAGUACGACCGCAAGGUUGAAACUCAAAGGAAUUGACGGGGGCCCGCACAAGCGGAGGAACAUGUGGUUUAAUUCGAUGAUACGCGAGGAACCUUACCCGGGCUCGAACGGUGCAUGAAUGGACAAGAGAUUGUUCAGACCUUAGGGACAUGUAUCGAGGUGCUGCAUGGUUGUCGUCAGCUCGUGCCGUGAGGUGUCGGCUUAAGUGCCAUAACGAGCGCAACCCUUGUCAUUAGUUACCAUCAGGUAGAGCUGGGGACUCUAAUGAGACUGCCACCGUAAGGUGAGAGGAAGGGGGGGAUGACGUCAAAUCAGCACGGCCCUUAUGUCCGGGGCGACACACGUGUUACAAUGGGGGGUACAGAGGGCAGCCAUCCGGCGACGGAGCGCCAAUCUCAAAAACCCUUCUCAGUUCGGAUUGGAGUCUGCAACUCGACUCCAUGAAGUUGGAUUCGCUAGUAAUCGCGCAUCAGCCAUGGCGCGGUGAAUACGUUCCCGGGCCUUGUACACACCGCCCGUCAAGCCAUGGAAGCUUGGGGUGCCUGAAGUUCGUGACCGCAAGGAGCGACCUAGGGCAAAACAAGUAACUGGGGCUAAGUCGUAACAAGGUAACCGUA